ensembl:lncRNA
CGUAACUCCAUGGUCACUGUGGGUACAAGCCUUGUGCUUCCCUGGUGGCCUGGAUCCUGGGUUCUCUUGCUUUCCUUCAAUAAUCAAGUAUUUUGUUUCUUUUCUCAUGACUGGCUGGACCUCUGUUAGAAAAACGGCGCGUGCUCAGAGUGAGGUAUCCUCUACAGCAUGUCCAUCAGCAUAAGGAAUCAUCCAGCCUUCAGCGGCAGCAGCUACAAUAUUUGGGAAGAAAUUAACCAUCCUGAUUCUUGGAUGUGGACCACCCAACAGCUGUUUCUUCUCAUUGAAUAAAUAGAAAAACUGAAGUCAAGAAACCAAGUUAUGGUGAACAGGGAGGGAUGGCAGAGCCGUGGGAGAAAGAUAAGAAGAGAGGGAGAAUCCGUUUCCCUGGAAACGCUUCAUGC